UUACAAAAAAUGUAUGAAAAUUGUGUCACACACUUUCAACCUUCUUUUGUAGCUGGAACAUGAAAAUGCCCAGUUAAGAAAUAUAAAUCUCACUUUGUCUGAAGCCCUUCAUUCACAGUCCGUGGCAAGCAUGAUCCUGGAUGAUGAAGGUGUUUUGGGCAGUAUUGAGAAUUCUUUCCAGAAAUUUCACGCUUUCUUGGAUCUCCUUAAAGAUGCUGGGCUUGGGCAACUUGCCACAAUGGCUGGUAUAGAUCAGUCAGAUUUUCAUUUACUAGGUCGUCCUCAGAUGAAUUCUACUAUUAGUAGUGCACCUAAAGAAGAAAAGAAGGCACUUGAAGAAGAAAAAACAGAUCCAAAGCAAAAUGCCCUAGGACAAAUGCAGAAUAUCCAAUUUCAGAAAAUCACAGGUGAUGCUAGAAUUCCUUUGCCUCUUGACUCCUUCCAUGUCCCAGUUUCUACUCAGGAGGCCUCAGGAACUUCCAAAGACAACCUGGAAGACCCAGCUCCUGAGCAGCGGCAGGAAUCUUUUGAAGGAUUCAUGGCGAGAACAUGUUCUCCUUUAGCAGAUAUGAUUUCUGGAACUGGAAAUCAAAGAGAAGAAGAGGAAUUAUCUAGAAAUAGCAGUUCACCCUCAGAGAAAAUGACCCAAGCAGGUGAAUAUACCAAAAAACACUUUGCCAAGAAACAGCCUGGGAAGGACCUGCAUUCCUAUUCUGACUCCUUUAUAAACCAGAAAAGCAAAGGAAUUGGGGAAAAUAGGUCUUUGGUUCAUGAGUCAAUUAAAAGUGAGUCUUCAAAAAACUACGUUUCUGUCAAGAAAGAAAGUAGAAUAGUGACUGUUUCAUCCAAGACAAAUAAAAGUAAAUCCAAUCCACUAGAACAUUCUGAAAGUGAUACUCUUGGAUCUGAUUUUGAAGUUCAAGAAAGCAUCCAUUCUCUAUCACGCUUGACCUAGGUCUAAACCUUCUGAAAUUAUGUUUUUACCUUCAAAUUUUAAUAAAUUUUCUUAUGUUUUUAUUAUUGCAUAUGGUGUCUUAAAAUAUAGGAAUGGAAGCCAUUAAAGGAAUGUUUAUCUAUGCUUUUUAUCAUAAUGAAGAUUCUGGCAUAUUUUCCCUUUUGAUACUUUGCACUGUUCAUUCAACAAAUGUUUACAAUACUAUUCUGG
rnacentral:lncRNA from 1 species